rnacentral:lncRNA from 1 species
UUGGAUUCACUAUGUAACGUUCCUCCAGAUGAGAACUGGUUUGGGAGUCUAGGAGACAAGAAUUUGAUGAGAGCAUCAGAGAAGCCAUUGGAGUAUGAGAGGUUUCAACCUGAAAGCAAUGCAGCAGCAGCAGCAGCUGCUACUGACAGGUUUCAACCUGAAAGCAAUGCAGCAGCAGCAGCAGCUACUGAGAGAAGGCAGAAGCAAACUGUGGAGGGUGCACAGCAGGCACAAUGGAGGUGGCUAUAAUUCUCUAGUCCGAAC